CCUACGGGUGGCAGCAGUGGGGAAUAUUGCACAAUGGGGGAAACCCUGAUGCAGCGACGCCGCGUGAGUGAAGAAGUAUUUCGGUACGUAAAGCUCUAUCAGCAGGGAAGAAAAUGACGGUACCUUACUACGACUCCCCGGCUAACUCCGUGCCAGCCGCCGCGGUCAUACGUAGGGGGCAAGCGUUAUCCGGGUUUACUGGGUGUACAGGGAGCUUAGACGGCAGCGCAAGUAUGGAGUGAAAUCCCAUGGCUUAACCAUGGAACUGCUUUGGAAACUGUGCAGCUGGAGUGCAGGAGAGGUAAGCGGAAUUCCUAGUGUAGCGGUGAAAUGCGUAGAUAUUAGGAGGAACAACAGUGGCGAAGGCGGCUUACUGGACUGUAACUGACGUUGAGGCUCGAAAGCGUGGGGAGCAAACAGGAUUAGAUACCCCGGUAGUC
rnacentral:rRNA from 1 species